UCUAGUCGUCUGCGAACAGAAGCAAAUACGAGGAUCGUUUGACCCGUGACUGUGUAAACUAGUGAGACUUACACGGUGCAUAACAUGUAGACAGUGUGUAACAGAGCAUGUAUGCAAAUGAGCUCGAGAAAGUUUGGCAAGUAAACAAACAGCCGCCCACCGCCGACAGGCAAAUCCUUAACUAAUUAAGUUUAGCAAAUGCCUCCAGUUAUUUCUUGUGAUCAUCGUAAAACUGAGGAGAAGGAACAACGUGAAAAUCCUUUGAUUUUUUCAAAGGCGUUCGUCGUAUUUCUCUUUAGUGUUUGGUUCAAUUUGUGCAGUGCUGCUGUGAUGAUACACCAAUCAAAUAUCGUACUCGUCGUGUCGUUGCUGAAAGAUCCACAAGAAAAAGGGAGCGCAUUACGGCGGAAAAAGAAAAAAAAUCAGACACUGAUAUAACGGGACGCGGUGUUGAGACAGUGCCAGAUCUAAAUCAAUAUGCAGAAACGGGAGGCGGGGACACAUAAAGAAGAGGGCGAAAAAAAUAUGUCACAAAACUUCACAAAGAUGGAAAUGCGAUACAAAAGAAAAGUGUAGAGUGGGCAACAGAAAAAAAGAACAAAACAAAAGAAAAUAAACUCGGUGAAUAAUCGAUACAUCCACCCUUGGGUUGUUCCCUUUGAAACUAGCAUGCUCGUAUGCAUUAAACUGCCUCCAUUGAGUUAAAAGGGGAAAAAAAAUUCGGACGUAAAAAAUGGAAAUAAGAAAACGAACGACGUUCAUCUUACCCUUUUCUGCGUCAUUAAGGUUUUUCCUUGGUUAGACCAACGUCAGAAAAGAAAAUAAAAAAAGGGUAAAUGGAGGAAGUUGGAUUCGGAUGAAGCAAUUUUUCUUUUUUUCCUUAUAUAAAUAUAGUCUACUGCGUACUAUACAGAAGAGAGACAUUUGAUUGACUGUACCAACGUUACGCUUAAUCAAAUAGGUAACGAGCUGAAUUGCGUUGGAAAUGUACAGAAAACCGGUCGACAAUUGCGAAAUCAACGUUUACGACGUUAUUUGAUUUCAAACCGCAAUAAAAUAUAACCAAGUGAUUUAUGCAGCAGGAGCUGACAGUUGAAUAAACUGCGUAAGACGCGUCCUUUCAGUAUCAGCUCUGCAAAUCAAUAGACGAGAGAGAGAGACAUGUCCAAAUAUAUAAAUAGGAGAACGACAUUUUCAAAUUCAAUUUGUCAUCGUCACGCUCGGCUAAGCCGACAAAUGCAGACCACAAGUUUCUUCGUCAACAUCCGCACAUUUACAAGACAAAUUCAGAAAUCUUCGCAAUUCUGAUUCACCUUUUAUCGUUUUUUUUUUCUUUUUCUUUCUGACCGUCACAUCAUAUCCGCUCCUAUCACGUAUACAAUCUCCGGUCUUCCUUUCUCGUUUAGGUAAUCCAUGAGAUCGUAUUUAUUUUUAUUUUAUUUUUAUUUUUUAUUUUUUACCCUAUCUGACAUGGUCAGUAGCCAAAAAAAUAGGCCCAGCCAUAUUGAAUUCGUCUAUUGGCUAGUAUAUAUACGUAUACGGCUCUAUUCGCGUAGUAUACAGUCCAGGGCGUUCACGGGGAAACUAACGCGGGCAAAUCGAGCGGACACGAACCAUCCAACGUAAUUUUGCUCAAAGAAAAUCGUAUAGACCCAUCAUAUGAUUAAGUACGUGCAACAUACGGAGACCAUAAGCAACUGCUGUUUCUCUACUUUUUGUCGAUGGCUGCGAAGAAGGGCCAUCUUCAACUUUUUGCGCGGCCAUCGUUAUACUUUAUUUAUUUAUUUAUUUUUUUUUAUCGACGGUGAUAAACGCUAUAGAGAGUUAUCUAGUAUAUAGCCCCGCCAGACGGCGUGUGCUGAGGAAAAGUUUAUUGUUGGAAACGAGCAGGUCGAUCAUCGAGUUGACGGCGCCAGGAUGUAUAUAAGAUGGAAUGUUUAUAAUGCAGCACGACUGAAGCUUUAGUAUAGCACCGGUGCUCAUGUAUAGACGGCAGAGAAAUAAUGUUGAUGACGAUGUUUGCUUUUCUCUCUCUCUUUUGUUUAAGUCUAUCCUACAACAUUGACGCAAUUUUCUAUAAAGUCUAACCUCUUGGGUAGGGAAAGAGAGGCGAAAUCCAAGACCGCACGAGCCAUGAUUAAGUCCUGUGUCGUAAUAACCUCUGUAGAAUCUCUUAGGAAUCGCAAAUAAAAAAGAAAAGACGUAAGAAGAAAAAAAAUGAAGCAGACAGAGGGAAAGAAAACUAAUCUAAUUCUUUCCGUUCCUCUUUGUCAUCUACUUAGUCUUCCUUCUCUGUAUAUAUGCUGAAGCCGCUCGUUGAAACCAAUAAACAAGUUCACCAGCUUUGCUAUUACAUAUUGGUAUACCCCAUCAAUAGAAGAACUUUUAAAAGCAAUUUUUUCUUAUUACGUAUAUACUCAAGGAUCUCGUCACACCGUCAUUGACGUACGUAUAGUAUAGAAAAUCUAAGAAAGCGUAUGUCGUUCACAAUCCAGGUAUGCAGGGGAGUUUUGAUGAUCCGCCCACCUUUAAAAAAAUAAAAUAAUUCGAUCGAAUACGAUGACGCCAAUGGCAAAAUUUAAGCUGAUCGAUAACUCCUGGCCAGAUUUUACGCCUUUCUUUUGUGGCUCGUUUUUGGUUGAAUUGAUAAAAGCCAAACGUAUUUAUACCUCUGUUAAAGUAAUUCGUGAAAAAGAAUAAACUCUUUCUUAUUUUCCUUGUUCACUCAAAUGAUCAAUCGUUUGACGUAACGCCGAUGUGAAUUCUAAUGAAAAUUCAAAUCCAAGAUUCAACAUUUUCCAGCCAACGUGAUGGGUAUACAUACAGACAAUAACAAUCACGUCGAGUAUAUACACGGACGUAUGUGACAGAGUCAGACGCAUUGCGUGUGUGACUGAGAAUUUAAAAAAAAUCCGUGAAUCCUGAAAUCGAAAAAAAAAGGAAACAGGUAUGAAUACUAUACACACGAACAUAACGAUAGUAUGCUAACAGAAGCCCAUCCACUGAAUCUGUAAGAUUUAAAAAACAUAUACUUUUUCGCACAUGUACUGAUGUGCGUAUAUAAGACAACACGUAAGUGAAUCAUAUUUAAGGAGCUUUGGUGAGAGGACGUUGAAAGGAUCUUGAAAAAAAAAGCACAUAACAGACGAGAGUGAGAAGUUUUUCGCUAAAACUUAUUCCAAAGUCAUUCAGUCCAAUCUUUGAAGAGAGACAGUCGCUAUGCUUCUUGCCGUGUCUAUGGCAUCGUACGGCUUUUUCUUUUUUCUGGUCAAGAUUGGGUGCAUGCUUACGUAUGGGUUUGUUUACGAUAUGGCACGCGCAUAAGGUUAUAUUGUUUGCUGAUUUACUUCGUGACAGGAAGGGCUGCGUGUAUAAACAGAGAUCUAACACUUGCAUAAUAGUCGGAAGGUUGUUGACGCGAUUGUGUCGUGAUUGCGUGAAAUGUCGUGCGAACUUGGCACGCGUUCAGCCAUCAGAUGUGCGUGAUUUUCGUGUUAAAAACAAAGAUUUAAUUCGUUUCUAAAAUCGAUAUUGAGGUUUAAUAUUCAUCAUUUUCGAAUAGAUAUUUGAAGUCAUGCGAUGAGGUGUAUAUUCGUUUGUUCAGAACACUUUUAGCACGAGGAAAAAGAAUAAAAACUUAAGGAUUUUUUAAAGAAAGCUUCUGACGUUGUCUAAUCAGCGACUGAGGUUUAGACAACAACUAUUGACUACGGCAACUGUCCCAUUGUUUCACGCUUUCUCAUCAGGGAUGUUGCUUCUAGUGCUUAUGUUAUCGGACGAUAUUCACGCAAGUUGGCUAUAUACGACAUUGCAAGCUGUGACUGCUUUGGAUUGUCCGUCUCCUGGUGAGCACUAAACCACAUCUAGCCGUACAUGAAGGACGUUUGCUAAAAGCAUGCCUGCCGCAGAUAGCAAACGACAUUCUAGUAAAUGGAAGUAGUUCAGUCGUUGUAUUUGUGUGAUCUAAACGGAAAAAUUUGCGACCAAGAAAAGUGGUUCCUUUACAAUUGAUUUGGUGCAUUCCGACAGGCAACGUGAACAUUGCAAUAGCCCAAUAUUGCUCAAAGAAGAUUUAUCGAUCAACGACCGCCAAAGGCGUCAACGUGAAAACGGAAAGUACUUGGGUCUUCGGGAUUUGUUAUCUUGUUAUUCACGGCAGAGCAUUGAAUAUCCAUCCGCGAAGAUUCAACAGUUUACUGGCAAAUUGGCAUUGCAAAAAAUCGUCAAAUGUUACAGUAUUUCAGUGCACGAAAUUGUAGUAGUGGGCGAUGUUACUGUGUCACAUGAUUUUAAUUAGAUAGACUAUUCAUGCUUGGCAAACAUAGCUCAAGUUUGCGAUUGCCUAUUUGUUUCUUCAAUAAGCUUUCUUGUUUGCUUGUUUUUAUUUAUGCAAGUAGUUACAUUAAAAACCUUACUUUUUGGCGUUAUAGUGAUGCCUUUUUGCAACAUCAACAAGCAAACUACAACGUUUAACAAUAAAGGUAACUAAAUGCGUUAAAAUAAACUUAGCAAAUUUUUUUUGAUUUGUUAAAUGUCGGUUGAUGGCUGUUUGCUUAAAUUUUACUCGUUAGAUGACUCUUUUUAAAAGUUUUAAUUUUUACUCACUAGAUGACUUUAGCUAUUUUCGAGAAAUUAAAUCUGGCAAUGUUUUGGUCUUCCGGAAGUUAACCAAAUAACAAUUUGAAGGCUUGCCAGUUGCAACUUGCAAGCAUGGAUCGGGAAGUUAGUAACACAAGCCGUUUCUCUUAGAAUUCUGGAACUUUCCUUCAUUCCCUGCAUGAUGGGCAUAUUCAAAUAUCCAAUGUCAUCUGGCCAUCAGAGAUCUAUUAUUUUUUGUGAAUGAGUUGGGUGAAAUAGACAUACCUAAAUUUUCUGCUUCUCCGUUUUGCAACUUCAUGCGAUGUAGCAGUUAUGCAAGCAUUAAUUUUCAUUUCAAUGAAUAAAGAAUGUUGGCUGUGAUCUGCAAAAAGCCAAUUGAGCUUUUUCUAUUAUUAUUUGAAGAGUUGAAUGGUAGUUUUUGCUGUUACAUUUAUUCUGUUAAAGUAACAAAAGUGACUAGCUCAGUUUGAAGAAAAUUUACUUUGAUGUUAGCAUGUUGCAGACGGGACAGCCAUGAAGAUGAACAAAAUCUAUAUUUUUCCUUCAAGAGCAUUAUUGAGUUGGAUAAGAAAGUAGUUAGAUAAGGUGAUAUUUUAUCAUUAAUGAACAGCUGUGUCAAGCAACAAUUGAUUGGGGCGGGUAAGCCGAAAACUAAAUUGACAAUGAUGAUUCCCAAUUAACAACAGUUGUCAAAUUUUUCAUUUCUUUUAUGAGUGGUAGCUAUAUGUAUUACCAUUGUUCUGCUCCACUUCGCUAUCUGGUAGUUUUUUUUAGAUGUUAACAUUUCAGGUUUUUUAACAAUUCGGGAUUUUACAUAUGAUGCGUUUCAGCUUAACUUUAGCCCAAGCAUGUGAUGAGUAAGGAUGGCAGAGCAUGCUAACAAUACAUGCUGCACCUGGCAUGUCCCUGGAUUACACUUCAGUUUGUUAAAAAUUGGUUGUGGUACAACAUAAGGUUGUAAGGAAUGGAUAAUGAAAGCUAUUGUUGAUCUUUGCAACUGUUUUUUAUCAUUUGGAUAGUCAACUCUCAAUGGGAAUACUGCUUCACAAAUUGAUGAGUUUGACUAAAUCAAAGGUGAGGAUCGAAUAUCGCUGCCCUUUACUUAAUCGAUAGGGAUUAACCUUCUUAUCAACUGGUUGAAGAAUUAGGACAAAAGAUGUUAACGUUUUCGUCUCUGCCGAUGAAAACCGUGUGACCAGAUCCUUGCCUUGAACGAAAGUUACUGACAAAACCAGGAAAAGUCGGCCCUUUCUUCAAAUUAACAAAGUGAAAAAAGACUAAAACUCUUGGUUCAAUUAUUUGGACACCUAGUAGGUAUUUCAACUUCAAAGUAGUUACCCUUUUGUAGUCUUUAGGCCACAUCACCUGUGCUGGCUUGGUUUUAGUUAACCUUAUUCUAAAUUUUAUGACUUGUUUUCCAAUGCAUGUUGAAAUUGUGUGCCGUAUUAGAUGUUCCUAGAUGUAGUGAAAUAAUCUUGUCUUGAUAAUCAAAAUCGUUGAACAGAAAGAAUAAGCUGUUGGCAGAAGGAAUGGCUAGAAGAUUAAAAUGUCCCCUUAAUGAAAAGUUACUCGAGAAUCUAAACGUCUUAUUGGAUGUGUUGGUACAAGUCUGAAUAUUGUUGGACUGCCAACUGUUGGCAAGUCUACCUUUUGCAAUCUGCUAACAAAAAGUGCAGCACAACUUUUCACCAUUGAUCUGAAUGAAAAUAAGUGUUCUUUUAGUGAUUAUGAACAAAACUAUUGGUUACUGUUGCAUUAAACUUUUGGUCUGGUGUUCAAAUAAGGUAGCAGUUCCUGAUGGAAGGUUUGAUUGGUUGCUUCAGCAAUAAGAAACCCUCAAGAUUUAUCACCAUCCCAAAUUCACUAUUUACUGGAUCAGAAGCUCAUACAGCUGGCAGCAACAGAAACCCUGUUCAUACUAAAAAGCAAUCUUUCUCAAGUGUUAUAUUUACAAAACAUGCAUGUCAGUGGAUGUAAUGAAUAUUUGAUAAACAUACCAUAAAUUUCA
rnacentral:lncRNA from 1 species